rnacentral:lncRNA from 1 species
ACUUGCUUUAGGUUGCUUUAUUUAUAAAAAUCAUUUUGGAUUCUACUAAGUCAUGUUGAUGAGCCAAGGGUUUGAAACAUUUCAUACAGUGCGGGCUUGAUCGGGGUCAUAAGACUUCAUCGUCGGACUAAACCAACUCCGUGCUGUUUCGAAGCAAUUGCUUGUACUGGCCUUCAACGUUUUAACAACUCUAGCCUCCAGCGAUACAAUCACACUGUACUACUUCCAAUGCUGGUGAGACACAAAUCAAAAUAUUUACAAGUUAAAAUUAUUUACAAUAUUUACAUUACUUUUAUUUUUUUUUGUUUCCCGGGAAAUUUUCUUUCUACUCGCAUGCAAAAUCUACUAAAUUGUUUUUGGUAACUAAGCUUGAAUGGGUCGGGGUCAUAAGUUUUCAUCGUCGACCGAAGUCAACUCCUCUCUGUUUCAAGGUCGGAACCUUCUACUGACCAUCAACGUUUAAUUCAACUCCGGUCUCCAGCGAUCCCAUUCGUACAGCAAAGUUGAUUUUAUAAUUUUUCGUUUAGGCAUGCAAUUAAUUCAAAACAAAUUCAAAAAUACAUCACAAUACGUGAAUAAAAUAAAUUAAAAAUCCGGAUAAAAAAAAAUAUUUUCAAACGCGCGCGCAGUUACGGUUAUCAAUAUACCAGUAACGAUCAGUUGAAACGUUUCGCGUGUCGGAGUUCAUCUUCUCUUUUUAUCUUCUCUUUACUGAUAACGUUAUCGUUCUUUACUCAUGUGCGUGCUGUCAAGAUCGAUUUGUCAAGAUCUAAUCAAAUGUGCAGUGGUCAAACGUGGUUCGCAGCAACAAAAUUUGUGAUUCCAGAAAAUUAAGUGAAUUUUGAUCUUACCGGGCGUAAAAUUAUCGUUUUAAAAUCAAUCGAUCGAUGAUUAAGGGCCCUUUGAUCACUUCAGUAAUAAGUUUUACCUCGGUAGAUCACUAAUUCCAAAGUUAUCUUGGGUCACAAUUUUGUUGAUGCUAAAAUAUUUAUGAGGAAAAAAAAAAUGCGAAAAAAGGUAUACCAUGAAUGAAUCAAACUAUGCUGCGCAAUUCCAUGAAUGAAGCACCAAAUUAUGCUGCCCUGUGACGCUGUAAUCGCCGAACGGCGGAUUUCCAAAUGCUGUUGCCGGAAAAGCUCCUCGUUCAUCGCAGAAUCGUCAUGCUGGCUGCUCAUCUGACUACUUCCAUUCAUGCCUUCAAAUCGGCAGCUGAGAAGACACCUAGCGGCUUCCCAUUCAUAUCAGAGACUGCAUACGAGCUGGUCCCUUUCUUCGCUGUAAUGGUGCACGGCGUGUACGGUGGACCCAACUUCGCGUUGAAGUUGUCCCCUGCCGAUGACUGCUUGAAUGAACGUUUGAAGACCCGCUGACCGAUGUCGAAUGUAGGUACAACAGGUAAAGCCCAUUCAGAAGAAGAAGGUUCAAUGAUGUCAUCUCUCAGCAACAAGUCCACGGCACGAUGUAUUCUACGCUGGAUCUCCGGACUCCAGGGGUACGGAUUUUUCCUGACUGGAUCCGCUCCUUGGAACUCCUCCUUCAGCUCGAUUUUGUGCUCAAUGAGCCCCGUUUUGCCGAGAUUUCCAGGACUCGCUAAUCUGGUCGUCACCCUCGUCGAGCGUCUCGAUACUCUGGUGAACUGACGGACGAAUUCCAAACUUCUGCCAAAAAUCGUAUCCUAGGAUACAACGACGUUUUAGAUCUGGAGCAAUCAAAACAGGUAAGAUCUUCGUCUCUUCAUUGAAUGUAAUUGGUACAUCUGCACAACCUACGACGUUCAUCUGCUGUCCCGCAGCUGUCUUCAAUGACACUGCUGACUCUCUCACCUUCAGUCCUAAUGAAUGGAUCAAUUUUUCUCCUCCUUUGCCAAGAACAGUUCUUGCUGCUCCGCUAUCUAACAAUCCUACGACGGUAAUACCCAGAAACUCAACUCUCGCGAAUGGCCUGGGGUCAUUACUUAGGGUGACGAGUAAAGAAGCAAUCUCAUCAUCCUUCGUAACUUCUCCACUCACUCUCGAAUAGCCAAGUUCACUGAGUACCGCUUCGCAUCCAUCGUGAGGUCUUGUGUAGUUAGCACCGCGACUGUCUCGCCUCACUGAGCAGUCCGCUGCAAGUUUUUUUUCUCGCAGAACGGGCACGUUCGCGUAUCAAACCCAGGGAACCCACAACGUUCACAGAAGACGUUCCGAUUCUUCGGACAUUCGCUGAACCCGUGACCUUCUUCAUGGCAAUUGUAGCACACUCCUCUCUUGAUCGGAAUGUACGCUCUCACGAUCCGUUGAAGUGGGUCAGUUCCGCUUGGACCUUGAACUGGACUCUUCGACCGUUGCUGGUUGUCCUGUUUCGGUUUAGCUUUCUCCUCUCUUUGACUCUGCUCACGAUUCUUCGGCUGCUGAUGAUACUGUUGGUUACGCCGCUGAUACUGUUGUUGUUCCUGCUUGGGUGGACGUUGAUUCCAAUUCCCCUUCUGAAACCCUUUCACCUGCGGUUUCUGCUGCUGAUAGUAACCUCUACCAUCUUGGUUGUUGUUCUGGAACCUAUUUCCGUUUCCAUUUCCUCCGUACGGUCUACGUAGUUCUCCUACUUCUUCAACGUGUGCGGUACGAGGUGUGAACCUACUCUCCUUCCGUUUGUACAACUGCCAAUUAAUCGAGUCGAACCUCUUUCCAAACUCUUUCAUUGCAGCUAUGUCCUGGAUAUUUGCGGCGAGCAUAGCGAUCUGGCAAUCUUCGCGCGUGUUGCGGAACAGGGAGUCGAAUUUCCGUUUUUCGUCCCACUGCUGAGACAUGUUGCGGAAAAUUCUGGCCAUGUCCAGGUAGAAAUCGUGAAAUUUCUCCCGAGCACCCUGCUUCCGAUUGUACACCUGCCGCUCGUACACGUAGUCGAUAUCAAUGGGUAAGAACUCAUUCUUUAACUCCUUAACCAUGCGUCUCCACGUUCCAAGUUCAUUGUUCCCGUUCACCUCCAUGAACCACGAUCUGGCUUUGUGAGUGAACAGGUGGUGCGCACAUUGGAAAAGCUCCGCCUCGGAAAAUCCUUCUGAACGAGCGUUGAAUUCAACCUCUUUCAGGAACUCAUUCAGUCUGCGACCGUUGUCCAUUCCGUCGUAUCGUACUGUCCAUUUAUGAACCGGUAAACGGUUUCGGUUAUCUUUCAACUUUUCAUUCACAGACGACUGUUCGGGUUUGGACUUCAGUUUUUCCUUGUUAUUUUGUUCCGAGUCUCGAGAGUUAUCCAACGAGCCAACCUUUUCCUUCAACCACAUGAAGAAAUCGGGUUCUGCUUUUCCAGUUUCUCCUGAUUGCUUGCCGUUUUCGUUACUCGCGAUUUGAGUGCUGUUGGCGGCCGUGGCGGGAUCUUUUUCGGGUUGUUUCAACUCAAGAGUUUCGAUUCGCUUGAGUAAAGCACUCACAGCUAGUCGUAACUCCUGGUUCUGAUCGACCAAUUUUUGCUUUUCCUCACCAUCGUCGCCAGCAGUUCUCUUAUCGCUUUCACGCCUCUCAACAAGUGCUCCUGUUUGGUCACUCUUCUCAGUACCAUCGCCUCCUGUCCCAUUCUCGUCUCCUGGUGUAUUUUCCUCCAAUUGUUUCUUCGCCACCGUAAUGCUCUGAUUAAUCAACUCCCACUCAGCUGCUCUUACUUCCGGUAUUGGAGAAACAAUGGAGUAGUACACGCUCAACAGUCUAACUAUCUCCACAGCCACCACAGCCAACCUGUCCAAGUCUGCGUUUUCGGUGAUAUGUUUCCUCAAUCGUUCCAUCCUAAAUAACAUGUGGAUCAAUCUCGUUUUGUACACUUGACCAGGUGCUUUCGCCGCACGGCUGGUUUCCAAGUGGUUUUUGAUAAAAUCUAGUUUGUCCUCACACACACCUAGUUCUUCGUCUACCGAAUCACUCACAAACUCAUACGACACAUUAAGCUGCUUUCUUUCCUGUUUCAGAUGAUUGUACAACACCUUCUCCAGCUGACUGCGUGCUCCAUCCAGAGGCAACUUGCGGAUGUGCAACUCAUGGCUGAACUCAUCAAUCGUCAGGUGCGAUGCAUUCAUCCCAUAAUACUGCGACAGCAUAUGUUUCACCUCCAUUAUGGUAUCGUUUAGAAACACAACAAUUAAAAUUUAAAAAGAAAUACUAAAAAUUGGAAAACCUAAAAUUUAUUCACGCUUCCUAAAAGCAAUCAAGCACAAGUGCAAAUUGAAAAAUAGUGCCUAAGUAUCACAGAAGUAAUCAAUUAGAAAAUCCUAGAAAAUCAAGCAAAUUGUACAGGAUACAACAAAUUUAACGAAAAUAAACAACUGUU